rnacentral:rRNA from 1 species
UACGGGGGGGGCAAGCGUUGUUCGGAAUUACUGGGCGUAAAGGGCUCGUAGGCGGCCAACUAAGUCCGACGUGAAAUCCCAAAGCUUAACUUUGGAACUGCGUCGGAUACUGGAUGGCUUGAAUUCGGGAGAGGGAUGCAGAAUUCCAGGUGUAGCGGUGAAAUGCGUAGAUAUCUGGAGGAAUACCGGUGGCGAAGGCGGCAUCCUGGACCGGUAUUGACGCUGAUGCGCGAAAGCCAGGGGAGCAAACGGG